UGGUUAAGGCGUGAGACUGUUAAUCUCAAGAUCGAGAGUUCGACCCUCUCCCUGGUCG
rfam:Candida maltosa Xu316 contig2386_scaffold54, whole genome shotgun sequence.